AAGAAACAUCUUCAGUGAAGUAACCCAGACCCAGAAAGGCAAACUUGUUUUCUACCCUUAGAGCUCUGCAUUGCUCAUUGAAAACGCUGCACUAUUGCGGAGCAGGAGCUCAAGGUAGCUGGUCACAUUGUGCCUACAUUCAGGAAGCAGAGGAUAGCAAGCCUGUGAUCCCAGGACUUGGAGGCUGAAAAAUUCAAGGCUAUGAAUCAAGACCCUGCUUCAAAAGAGAAAGGAGAAAGAUUGUUUUCAAUACAGCCAUAACCCCUGCCCUAUGAACACAUUCAAUAAAAACUCCAUGAGAAAAGAACUUUUGCCAUUUUAUUCCAUAACUGUAUACCUGU